rnacentral:rRNA from 1 species
UACAGAGGGGGCAAGCGUUGUUCGGAAUUACUGGGCGUAAAGGGCGCGUAGGCGGCCUGUUAAGUCGAACGUGAAAUCCCUGGGCUCAACCCAGGAACUGCGUCCGAUACUGGCAGGCUUGAAUUCGGGAGAGGGAUGCGGAAUUCCAGGUGUAGCGGUGAAAUGCGUAGAUAUUGCUCGGAAGGCCAGAGCCGAAGGGGCCCCAUUGGUACGUAACUGACGCUGAGGCACGAAAGCGUGGGGAGCAAACAGG